rnacentral:lncRNA from 1 species
UUUUAUUUCUUUUUACUUUUUAGGGCCACACCAGCAGCAUAUGAAAGUUCCCAAGCUAGGGGUUGAAUCGGAGCUAUAGCUGCUGGCCUAUGCCACAGCCACAGCAAUGCGGGAUCCAAGUCAUGUCGGCAACCUAUACCACAGCCCAGGGCAAUGGCAUGUCUUUAACCCACUGAGCAAGGCCAGCCUCCUCAUGGAUCCUAGUCGGGUUCGUUAACUGCUGAGUCACAAAGGGAACUCCAGAUUUCUCAUUUUCUAUGCUAAAUCUAGGAGCUGUUAGUUUAGUAGCAUUGCACAACACACUGAUGGAAAAUGUCACCUGACUCCUUUAUCUGUUAAACAAAUAUUAAGAAUAGCUAUUUGGCCAAACUUUGCUAUUGUUCCUCAUCUAUCACACUACAGUAUUACUUAUCAAUGGAAAAGCAUGUUCCCAGCAUGUCACAGCAGGACUUUAAAAGCUUAGUAGACCUUCUAAAAGCAACACAGCUGACCUCUUCCUUAACACUCAGAUAUUUGAUCUGUAAAUUAUUUAGCUUGCAUCAUUUCUUUUUCCCAAAGCUUAAAUAGUAAAGCAGCCAUUUUUAUUUCCUUUCAUAUUUCCCCAAAUGACUAGAAAGUAUCACUCUUCAGAAACACAGGCCACAUUUAUAUUUUCGAUAAAUGGAUUAAAAGAAUAGGUUUCCUGGGCCCACUUGAAGUACCGUCCUCCCACACAAGGUACGCAAAUGCCAAAGGAAAAUUGUUAGAAUAUCGGAGUUGCCUUGUGGCACAACAGGUUAAGGAUCCAGCAUUGUCACUGCAGCAGUUUGGGUUGCAGCUGCAGCAUGGGAUGGGUUCAGUCCCUGGACCCAGAACUUCCACAUGCUGCAGGCACGGCCAAAAAAAGAAAAAAGAAAAGAAAGAAAAUUGUUAGAAUAUAAAUAACUUAUGAUUUUUAGAUAAUAAAACUCUUCCUUGGACUAGUAUCAAUUUGUGCUGCUCAAUUCUGUUCUCAAUCUGACAUGUGAUGCUCAAUUACAUUAUUAACUUCUAAUUGGGGUGCUUUCUUAUGUUUCUGUUCCAAAAAUCUGCUGCAUGAAUAAACAAAUAGUCUUGUCAUAUUUAGAUGACAAGCAUUUCAAGGGCAAGUAUUCCAAGAUGGCAGCAUUUCUUCUAAUUCUUUUGUAUUCUACACACGCUUCUGAAUGCAUGCAUUCAUCCUUAUGUCCCUCCAACCACUCAGCAGAUCUCUUCAGAGAAAGUUUUAGGCUCUAAAAACAGUACUAGGGUCACCUGGGGAGAAAAAAACUGAAAGAUAUAUGUCCAGUUUGAACUCAAUCAAAAUGAAGAGGUGCUGACCCAAUAUGAAGAGAAAAAAAAAUACAGCAGAAUGUUGACAGUGGUUGUCUUAAUUAAGGUGAUACAAUUCCUUCACUGAUUUUUCUAUAUUUUCAAUAAGAAUAUGUGUGUAUUUUAUAUCAGAGAAAAGCUAUUUUAAACAAAAUCUAAUCGUUAAGUUGAAAGAACAAAGUCAAACUUACAAAACAAAGAGGCAGAUAGAAACAUAGUGAACAGGCACUCAGAUAGUACUAAAAGGUUUGAAUUUGAGUUGGGACUUUGCCCCUUGCUGU